CUUUUCUACCACAGUGUGAGUAUUCUCUUAAUAUUAUCCUUAGAAGAGAUUUUGAUAUUGCCUUUGAAGAAGAACUGAGCCUCUCUUUCCAAAUGAGAUUCACCAUCCUUACUUUGCAUCUAGGACUUAUCCAGAAACCGGCAGAUCUUGAUUUUGGGCCUUUUUCUGUGGAAGAUUCAAACACCAAGUCAUAGAAAUGUACCCAAGACCCCAUCAUUUUGACAAGACUGGAUGACAGGCAAAAGUUGUAAAGAAAGCUCACGACAGCCUUACGUUUGUGCAGAGCUUACUUCAGCAGAUAUGCUAGGAAAAAGCCACUGGGUGAGGAAAUGAUGGAGAAAGAUGACCCAAACAGUGCUCAGCUAUGACUGAAGUGCUUAGGUUCUCAGCUUUGUAAUGACUGCAGUGUUUCUUUUGAGGCUCAUAAUCAGGAGUUUAAUGACCUUGGGAACUUCAAUACUGAAAACUGAAGUGCAUAUAAACUACAACCAUGCUGUGGGUCAGAAUGAACACAGGAAUGAAAGGUUUCAACAGUGCCAACUGAGAGAGAAACAACUUGGGACUGAAGGAGUUUUUCUCUCCUGAAAACACUCUCUGAAGAGUACUGGUCACACUGAGCACAAGUGAUGCUUGUCCCUAAUUUUCUGGAACCAGAUUUCACCAGAGGCUUACAGAUGGCUGCUCUAAGGCAAGUAAACGUAAAUCUGGUUCUCAAAAUUGUUCAUCUUCCGUUGAUAGAAGUGGAAAUUCUCAGAGCUCAGCACUUCUGAAGGUCAGACCUGG
rnacentral:lncRNA from 1 species